rnacentral:rRNA from 1 species
UACGUAGGGUGCAAGCGUUGUCCGGAAUUAUUGGGCGUAAAGGGCUCGUAGGCGGUCCAUCGCGUCGGGAGUGAAAAGCUGGGGCUCAACCCCAGUCCUGCUUCCGAUACGGGUGGACUAGAGGUAGGUAGGGGAGAUCGGAAUUCCUGGAUGUAGCGGUGGAAAUGACGCAGAUAUCAGGAGGAACACCGGUGGCGAAGGCGGAUCUCUGGGCCUGCACUGACGCUCAUGCACGAAAGCGUGGGGAGCAAACAGG